rnacentral:rRNA from 1 species
CAACGGAUAAAAGGUACUCCGGGGAUAACAGGCUGAUACCGCCCAAGAGUUCAUAUCGACGGCGGUGUUUGGCACCUCGAUGUCGGCUCAUCACAUCCUGGGGCUGAAGUAGGUCCCAAGGGUAUGGCUGUUCGCCAUUUAAAGUGGUACGCGAGCUGGGUUUAGAACGUCGUGAGACAGUUCGGUCCCUAUCUGCCGUGGGCGCUGGAGAACUGAGGGGGGCUGCUCCUAGUACGAGAGGACCGGAGUGGACGCAUCACUGGUGUUCGGGUUGUCAUGCCAAUGGCACUGCCCGGUAGCUAAAUGCGGAAGAGAUAAGUGCUGAAAGCAUCUAAGCACGAAACUUGCCCCGAGAUGAGUUCUCCCUGAGACUUAGAGUCUCCUGAAGGAACGUUGAAGACGACGACGUUGAUAGGCCGGGUGUGUAAGCGCAGCGAUGCGUUGAGCUAACCGGUACUAAUGAACCGUGAGGCUUAACCUUACAACGCCGAAG